AGAGUCGUGCAGAAAGUAUUCAGACACUUGACGUAAGUUCCAUAGACUUAUGUGUUAAUUUAGUGUAGCAUAAAUAAUUUUCAUGAAUUUAAUUUUUGUAAGAUCCAAGUCAAAUUUUGCACAUUUGUGAGGAAUCAUCUUACCUACAAUCAUAUAAUUUCUGUUUAAUUUUCCGUUGCUUAUUUAUGGCAACAAUUUAAUCAACAUACGUACAGUGCCAUGAACUCCUUGAACAUGGCAGCCUAUGGGAUUGUGCAUUGUGGAACCAUACGCAAGUUGAUAAAAGUGAUGUCAUUAGUGAAAUAGUGGUUGGAACAUUGAGCU